rnacentral:rRNA from 1 species
AUUGAACGCUGGCGGCAUGCCUUACACAUGCAAGUCGAACGGUAACGGGCCUUCGGGUGCCGACGAGUGGCGAACGGGUGAGUAAUACAUCGGAACGUGCCCGAUCGUGGGGGAUAACGAGGCGAAAGCUUUGCUAAUACCGCAUACGAUCUACGGAUGAAAGCAGGGGACCGCAAGGCCUUGCGCGGACGGAGCGGCCGAUGGCAGAUUAGGUAGUUGGUGGGAUAAAAGCUUACCAAGCCGACGAUCUGUAGCUGGUCUGAGAGGAUGAGAAGCCACACUGUGACUGAGACACGGCCCAGACUCCUACGGGAGGCCGCAGUGGGGAAUUUUGGACAAUGGGCGCAAGCCUGAUCCAGCCAUGCCGCGUGCAGGAUGAAGGCCUUCGGGUUGUAAACUGCUUUUGUACGGAACGAAAAGCCUUCUUUUAAUACAGGAGGGUCAUGACGGUACCGUAAGAAUAAGCACCGGCUAACUACGUG